AAUGCCUUCUUUACAUCUGCCUUUAAUAGGCAGAUCAGUUAUCCUCAGAGCACUUUAUGCCCUGAUCUGGAAGUCUGGGCUGGUUCACAGCAUACACCCCUGGUGAUUCAGGUGGAGACAGAGAGCUCCUCCUCCAUCUGGAGUGUCACAAGUCCAAGGGAUCAGAUGGGAUCCACCCUCGGGUGCUGAGGGAGUUGGUGGGGGUGGUUGCCGAGCCACUCUCUGCCAUCUACCGUCACUUCUGGUUAUCUGGAGAGGUCCCAGAGGAUUGGAGGCUUGUCGAUGCGACUCCCAUCUACAAGAAGGGCUGUAAGAAGGAUCUGGGGAACUACAGGCCGGUCAGCCUGACCUCAGUACCAGGGAAAGCCACUGUUGGUGAGGCAAAGAAAAGUCAUGCCUGAGAAUCUUCCUCCUCUCUCCAGGUAGAGGAGUAGAAAUGAAUUUUGGGAAGAAAAUGACAACAACAACAAAAAUCACCACCAAUUUAUCUUUCUGAGGAGUACUUAAACAUUUGAAUAGGAAAAAGGAACAGUGAAAAGAAGAAAUUUCGAGAAAUACCGAUAUCCUCUAAGUGUAUAUCUUGGAAAGACUAUAGAGAGACUACUCUUAUAGUCAACGUUUUAUUAUAAGUGAACUGUAAACAAAUUCACUGUGGAUGUUCCACCAGGGUGCUGACCCUACACCUCAUCAUGUAUGGCUUGAAGACAUUCUACAACAUUUUUCACUUUUUACCAUUGC
ensembl:lncRNA